UUCUGAAGAUAAUGUGCCUCUUACGAGA
rnacentral:piRNA from 1 species